rnacentral:rRNA from 1 species
GCAAUACAAGGCAUACGGCUCAGUAACGCGUAGUCAACCUAACCUAUGGACGGGAAUAACCUCGGGAAACUGAGAAUAAUGCCCGAUAGAACACUAUACCUGGAAUGGUUUGUGUUCCAAAUGAUUUAUCGCCAUAGGAUGGGACUGCGGCCUAUCAGUUUGUUGGUGAGGUAAUGGCCCACCAAGACUAUUACAGGUACGGGCUCUGAGAGGAGUAGCCCGGAGAUGGGUACUGAGACACGGACCCAGGCGGGGUGGGGCGCAGCAGGCGAGAAAGCAGUUGCAAUGUGCGAAAGCACGACAAGGUUAAUCCGAGUGAUUUGUGCUAAACGAAUCUUUUGUUAGUCCUAGAAACACUAACGAAUAAGGGGUGGGCAAGUUCUGGUGUCAGCCGCCGCGGUAAAACCAGCACCUCAAAGUGGUCAGGAUGAUUAUUGGGCCUAAAGCAUCCGUAGCCGGCUCUGUAAGUUUUCGGUUAAAUCUGUACGCUUAACGUACAGGCUGCCGGGAAUACUGCAAAGCUAGGGAGUGGGAGAGGUAGACGGUACUCGGUAGGAAGUGGUAAAAUGCUUUGAUCUAUCGAUGACCACCUGUGGCGAAGGCGGUCUACCAGAACACGUCCGACGGUGAGGGAUGAAAGCUGGGGGAGCAAACCGGAUUAGAUACCCGGGUAGUCCCAGCUGUAAACUAUGCAAACUCAGUGAUGCAUUGGCUUGUGGCCAAUGCAGUGCUGCAGGGAAGCCGUUAAGUUUGCCGCCUGGGAAGUACGUACGCAAGUAUGAAACUUAAAGGAAUUGGCGGGGGAGCACCACAAGGGGUGAAGCCUGCGGUUCAAUUGGAGUCAACGCCAGAAAUCUUACCCGGAGAGACAGCAGAAUGAAGGUCAAGCUGAAGACUUUACCAGACAAGCUGAGAGGUGGUGCAUGGCCGUCGCCAGCUCGUCCUGUGAGAUGUCCUGUUAAGUCAGGUCCCGCGCGAGAUCCCUGCCUCUAGUUGCCACCAUUACUCUCAGGAGUAGUGGGGCGAAUUAGCGGGACCGCCGCAGUUAAUGCGGAGGAAGGAAGGGGCCACGGCAGGUCAGUAUGCCCCGAAACUCUGGGGCCACACGCGGGCUGCAAUGGUAGCGACAAUUGGUUUCGAAUCCGAAAGGAUGAGGUAAUCCACAAACGCUACCACAGUUAUGACUGAGGGCUGCAACUCGCCCUCACGAAUAUGGAAUCCCUA